rnacentral:rRNA from 1 species
AUUGAACGCUGGCGGCAGGCCUAACACAUGCAAGUCGAGCGGAUGAAGGGAGCUUGCUCCUGGAUUCAGCGGCGGACGGGUGAGUAAUGCCUAGGAAUCUGCCUGGUAGUGGGGGAUAACGUCCGGAAACGGGCGCUAAUACCGCAUACGUCCUGAGGGAGAAAGUGGGGGAUCUUCGGACCUCACGCUAUCAGAUGAGCCUAGGUCGGAUUAGCUAGUUGGUGGGGUAAAGGCCUACCAAGGCGACGAUCCGUAACUGGUCUGAGAGGAUGAUCAGUCACACUGGAACUGAGACACGGUCCAGACUCCUACGGGAGGCAGCAGUGGGGAAUAUUGGACAAUGGGCGAAAGCCUGAUCCAGCCAUGCCGCGUGUGUGAAGAAGGUCUUCGGAUUGUAAAGCACUUUAAGUUGGGAGGAAGGGCAGUAAGUUAAUACCUUGCUGUUUUGACGUUACCAACAAUAAGCACCGGCUAACUUCGUG